rnacentral:tRNA from 1 species
GGGAGCAUAGCUCAGCUGGUUAGAGCGCCUGCUUCACACGCAGGAGGUCGCAGGUUCGAGUCCUGUUGCGCCCACCA